rnacentral:rRNA from 1 species
AACGAACGCUGGCGGCAGGCUUAACACAUGCAAGUCGAGCGCCCCGCAAGGGGAGCGGCAGACGGGUGAGUAACGCGUGGGAAUCUACCUUUUGCUACGGAAUAACUCAGGGAAACUUGUGCUAAUACCGUAUGUGCCCUUCGGGGGAAAGAUUUAUCGGCAAAGGAUGAGCCCGCGUUGGAUUAGCUAGUCGGUGGGGUAAUGGCCUACCAAGGCGACGAUCCAUAGCUGGUCUGAGAGGAUGAUCAGCCACAUUGGGACUGAGACACGGCCCAAACUCCUACGGGAGGCAGCAGUGGGGAAUAUUGGACAAUGGGCGCAAGCCUGAUCCAGCCAUGCCGCGUGAGUGAUGAAGGCCUUAGGGUUGUAAAGCUCUUUCACCGGAGAAGAUAAUGACGGUAUCCGGAGAAGAAGCCCCGGCUAACUUCGUGCCAGCCGCCGCCGUAAGAC